AGCAGUAGCCGCGGGAACACGGAGGGUGCAAGCGUUAUCCGGAUUUAUUGGGUUUAAAGGGUCCGUAGGCGGACUUAUAAGUCAGUGGUGAAAGCCUGUCGCUUAACGAUAGAACUGCCAUUGAUACUGUAAGUCUUGAGUAUAUUUGAGGUAGCUGGAAUAAGUAGUGUAGCGGUGAAAUGCAUAGAUAUUACUUAGAACACCAAUUGCGAAGGCAGGUUACCAAGAUAUAACUGACGCUGAGGGACGAAAGCGUGGGUAGCGAACAGGAUUAGAUACCCGUGUAGUCCCUGUCUCUUAUAC
rnacentral:rRNA from 1 species